UACGUAGGCAGCGAGCGUUGUUCGGAGUUACUGGGCGUAAAGGGUGUGUAGGCGGCUUUUUAAGUUUGGUGUGAAAUCUCCCGGCUCAACCGAGAGGGUGCGCCGAAUACUGAGAGGCUAGAGUAUGGGAGAGGAAAGUGGAAUUCCUGGUGUAGCGGUGAAAUGCGUAGAUAUCAGGAGGAACACCGGUGGUGUAGACGGCUUUCUGGACCAUUACUGACGCUGAGACACGAAAGCGUGGGUAGCAAACAGG
rnacentral:rRNA from 1 species